rnacentral:rRNA from 1 species
CGGUUUCGAAAGAGACAGGGGUCAAAGGCCUGAGGGCCGUUUGAAGAUGAGCCUGCGUCCCAUCAGCUAGUUGGCAGGGUAAUGGCCUACCAAGGCUUAGACGGGUAGCUGGUCUGAGAGGAUGAUCAGCCACACUGGAACUGAGACACGGUCCAGACUCCUACGGGAGGCAGCAGUGGGGAAUAUUGCGCAAUGGGCGAAAGCCUGACGCAGCAACGCCGCGUGGGUGAUGGAGGCCUUCGGGUUGUAAAGCCCUGUCGGGUGGAACGAACAGGUCCUGAGGAGGGACUCUGACGGUACCAUCGGAGGAAGCACCGGCUAACUUCGUGCCAGCAGCCGCGGUAAUACGAAGGGUGCAAGCGUUGCUCGGAAUUAUUGGGCGUAAAGCGUACGCAGGCGGUCUACCAAGUCGGGCGUGAAAGUCCGGGGCUCAACUCCGGGAAGUCGCACGAAACUAGCAGACUUGAGUUCGGGAGAGGGGUGUGGAAUUCCCAGUGUAGAAGUGAAAUUCGUAGAUAUUGGGAGGAACACCGGUGGC